GCCUGGCCGAGAGGCGCCGCUCUAGGCUGCAGCCUGCGCAAGGCCGCAGCUCCGCAGGGAUCGCUGAGCGAGUGCCGGUCCGCCCUCCUUGUCCUGUGCUGCAGCCUGUACCCGUGUUGUGCACUGUGUACCCUGCUGCCUCCCUUCCGGACCUCCGGCUAAGUCAUCCGGGGCGUCCUCAGCGCGCGGCUCCCAAGGAUGGCGCCGCGUCUCCCUCAAGCAGAGGAGACAAGCAUCUGCGCCCUGGGACCUCGACCUACAGCGGCUCUCGCGUCCCGGUUGUUGGCCGCUCCGGUCUGACCGUCCCAGAGCGGUGUCAGGCGCCUUUUUGCCACCCGGGAAGGACACCCCACUUGGUCGGGGACCUCACGCCCCGUGGUCUCUCACACCUUCGUCCCGCCCUCGGACUUGUGGCGGUCGAAGCAAAGGAUUGACUUGUCGCUUGUCUACACGGGGCCUUCAGUUUGCGCGGCCUCCUGGAGGAGGAUGGAAACUAUACGGUGGCUGGCGGAGCUGGUUCUGCAACAGCCAGCGUCCCCGCCCACGGUGCUCCAGGGACAGGAUGUCCCGGUGUCUUGGGAGUUGUCAUGUCAGGACCACCUUAUACCCAAGUGUCAUUGAGGGCUAUGGUGAGGCAGAAAUGUCAUGGCAGAAGGCC